rnacentral:misc_RNA from 1 species
AAUACCGAAGCGCUGCUAGCACCGCAGCCGGACGUUUGCCGCAUCAGCCGUGCCGUACCUCAACCGUACUUCAGCCGCAAGUGGGGCCAAACGGUGACCUGGUGUGCAGCGUACAGGCGCAGACGCUGGACCUGGAGUCAGAUCUGACGACGACCAUCUUUUCGCCGGAGCAGCUGCUAGCGGAGCAGCGCAUGGAUCAGCAGGUGUCGCCGGUCCGAGCAGCUCUGAUCAGCGGAGAGCGGCUGUCAAAUUCAAGACGUCUUCAGCCGGUACCUGCUACUACUGCCAGCGGAGGACAGCACAGCGGAGACCGCGGCCAGGCUUGUCCGCACACGCUGGAUCAGUACAUUCGGCGUACCCGUGGCGAAUGCGGCUACUGGGUUCAGCCCGUUCGAGCUACUAUUCGCCCGCCCAGCUCGUCGACCGGAGUCGGCGAUCAGCACCGGGGAGGAGCCGGGAGCAGCGCGGUCACCAACCGACGAGGUGGCUGAACGGCGGCGUCUACUCGAUGGUAUGCAUCAGAAGGCGCAAUUGAAGCGAACCGGGGAUGGAUCAGAGCGGAGACGAAGACCGAGACGGCGCCGUCGGCUGAGUCCAGCACAGGAUCGACCAGCACCGCUGAGGACAGCGGUAGCGAGGACGACUACGAGGACGAGGAUGAAGAGGAAAGAUCAGCCACCAUUCGCCCUCAGCGCGCGCGGGAAGCACCGGACCGUUUAGUUGUGGAUCCUAGACGUAAAACCUAAGAAAGCCGAAAAUUGAGUGGUGGGGUGUGAUAGGCUGGCUACCCGCCGCCUACUGGUGUACUGUUCAUCAGGCCUGCUGACCGCCACCUAGUUGUGAACUGCUAAGCUGUGGUACGGCCUCUGGCCGUAGGGUGUCGCCAGUGCUGUCUAACCCCGGCUGGAAAAUACAUUCAGUCGUGAUCUGACCGUGGU